UACGAAGGGGGCUAGCGUUGUUCGGAUUUACUGGGCGUAAAGCGCACGUAGGCGGAUCGUUAAGUCGGGGGUGAAAUCCUGGAGCUCAACUCCAGAACUGCCUUCGAUACUGGCGAUCUUGAGUCCGGAAGAGGUGAGUGGAACUCCUAGUGUAGAGGUGGAAUUCGUAGAUAUUAGGAAGAACACCAGUGGCGAAGGCGGCUCACUGGUCCGGUACUGACGCUGAGGGUGCGAAAGCGUGGGGAGCAAACAGG
rnacentral:rRNA from 1 species